AGCGAACGCUGGCGGCAGGCCUAACACAUGCAAGUCGAACGAACUCUUCGGAGUUAGUGGCGGACGGGUGAGUAACCCGUGGGAACGUGCCUUUUGGUUCGGAAUAACUCAGGGAAACUUGUGCUAAUACCGAAUGUGCCCUUCGGGGGAAAGAUUUAUCGCCAUUAGAGCGGCCCGCGUCUGAUUAGCUAGUUGGUGGGGUAACGGCUCACCAAGGCGACGAUCAGUAGCUGGUCUGAGAGGAUGACCAGCCACACUGGGACUGAGACACGGCCCAGACUCCUACGGGAGGCAGCAGUGGGGAAUCUUGCGCAAUGGGCGAAAGCCUGACGCAGCCAUGCCGCGUGAAUGAUGAAGGUCUUAGGAUUGUAAAAUUCUUUCACCGGGGACGAUAAUGACGGUACCCGGAGAAGAAGCCCCGGCUAACUUCGU
rnacentral:rRNA from 1 species